rnacentral:lncRNA from 1 species
GAAAGAUGAGGACUGACUAAACUGCUGUUAGAAGGACUGGUGGUCGUGUCGUUCUUGCUGGUCGAGAGCGGGCGCGACAAUUGGUGGCCCGUACGGGGAACCGACUCCCCCACCAAGUUCAGAACUUUCAGCAGUCAGUGGUUGCCGGCAGGGUAAGUUCACGGACCAGACGGAACCUCUUUGGGUGCUGGAGAGAUUGGUGAGACGCUGCAAGAAUGAGGCUCCUGAUCCAGUUGCCCCUGUGGAUGUGGUGGAUGAUCCCGCAAGCACAAACGAUGGAGCCGAGAUGAGAGAUCCUUUCGGCAAAAUGUCCCUGGAAGAAUUCAACAAAGGUGCCAAGAGGAAUCCAUCCAUUGUCCGGUUGCUGCAGUGAGAUCCCAGCAGUGCUAGCCAGUUCUGAGUGGAAUGGGCUUUACACAGUUGUGUGAAACACAGGCUUGACCUGCCAUCUUCAGCUUUGCUUGCAAAAGUGGACUUCUCCGUGAUUUCUCCUGCUCUCUCAGGACCUGGGUCCAGGCAGCACAUCACACUCACCUGGUCUGGCUGGAUGCAGCUCCCUCCUCUAUUUGAUCCCAUAGAUGUCCCUCCUCCUUCAGUCCAGGCUGGCUCCUUCUAAUGGUUCAAGUGUUCUCAGCUGUAUGCCUCUUUCCCUGCCCACAGAGGGCCUGGAAGCCCUUAAGGACACCAGACAGGACUUUUCAGUAUCUUACCAAGACCAGCUGAUUUAUUCUAUGUUCCCAGGUGACUUUGUGAGGAUGAAGAAGAUAGACAGUAUAUAGGCAAACCCUUCCUAUUCAUGGCUCCACCUCCCUUGUUCAUUUUCUCUGACCAAAGCUGCUUUAAUGUAUAUACCGUGGUAUCCUUACUUUUAAUAUAUAAGUUUUGUAUAAAGUGAGGUCUAGCCCCUCUUUUUAUUUUAUUUUAUUUUUUAAUUUUUAUUGGUUUCUUUUCCGCUCAAGUACACUUUAGAAAUAACAUUUAGACACAGGCACGUGCACGCACACACACACACAUUUACAUGCUCACACGUGCACAUAUACAGACACACAGACACAGACACACAGCCGCACUGCUUCUCUCAUGAAGGGCUUUCCCUUGCUUCCUUUAGUUGCUUUAUAUAAAAUGCAAAGCUUUCAGGGGGCUCGGGGAAGGGGACUGGUUCCCUGACAUCCUUGAGCAAAGAUGCAUAGCACUUGAGAACACGUCAUCCAGUUUCAAAUUCUUUAGCCCCUCUUUUUAAAGCUUCUGACUGCCUUUAAAGCAUGGUCCCCUGUGGCCUGUGAUUCUCCCCACCCCCAAGUCUGGCUGUUGUGUGGUAUUUAUGUAUUCAUUUGCCUAAUUACACAGGAGAUACAUGCAUGCCCAAGGCUGUGUAUAUCUGCCCUCCAUCCUGCAAAUACAGGUGUUCCUGUGUGCUCCAUCCUUCCUUUCUAUUGGUCUGGCAUAUUAAAAUUAUCAAAUAAA